GAUGAACGCUAGCGGGAGGCUUAACACAUGCAAGUCGAGCGGGAUUAGCAGCAAUGCUAUGAGAGCGGCGCACGGGUGCGUAACGCGUAUGCAACCUGCCUUAUACAGGGGAAUAGCCCAUGGAAACGUGGAUUAACGCCCCAUAGGAUCACUGGAACGCAUGGUUUGGUGAUUAAAACUGAGGUGGUAUAAGUUGGGCAUGCGUCUGAUUAGGUAGUUGGUGAGGUAAUGGCUCACCAAGCCGACGAUAAGUAGGGGUUCUGAGAGGAUUACCCCCCACACUGGUACUGAGACACGGACCAGACUCCUACGGGAGGCAGCAGUGAGGAAUAUUGGUCAAUGGCCGAAAGGCUGAACCAGCCAUCCCGCGUGCAGGAUGACGGCCCUAUGGGUUGUAAACUGCUUUUGUACCUGAAGAAACCUGCUUACGAGUAGACAGUUGCCGGUAAGGUAUGAAUAAGCAUCGGCUAACUCCGUGCCAGCAGCCGCCGUAAGAC
rnacentral:rRNA from 1 species